UCUCGAUAGCGUAAAAGUUAACUCAAAAUUGUACGGAGUAGGAAUGUUUACUUAAGUUUGCCGCUAGAGGCGCUGUUCCAACUGCAUACAACUUUGACUUAACUUUUACGCUAUCGA
rnacentral:pre_miRNA from 9 species